ensembl:lncRNA
CCUCUUGACAUAACUGACUGCUUUUCAUCAGUCAGUUGAUAUGAUAUGACAUCUCUUCUCUUUCUCUUUGUCAAAAAAAGCAAAGAUGCUUUCUCUGACUACCUUGUCUAAAAUAACUUCCCUCAGCCCCGGUUUCUCUCUAACCUCUUUCUUUUUUAUUUUCUUUACAGGACUUAUCGCUGUCUCUAUUCAUUUAGUGUUUCCCCUGCUGAUAUUGAAGGGUCGUGACGGAAAGGACUUUGUCUCAUCUGGUGAAGUGGUUUGGCUAUGUCCCCACCCAAAUCUCAUCUUGAAUUCCUGUGUGUUGUGGGAGGGACCCAGUGGGAGGAUUGACCUUUUAGUGGACUGAAUUAUCUACUCAUUUUCAAUUAAGUUUCCAUAUGGCAAAUUGAAGCUGACCCUGUUACAAUUAGAAAACUACACAGAAGAAAAGAGGCCAUAAAUACUGUGAGAGAAAUUGUAUUUUUGGAUGUUGUGUGUUUAUAUUUCUCCAGCUCCCCACAGAAAGAAAGAAAAGGAAAAGAAAAAAGAAAGAAAUGCAGAGCUGUUAAAAUAUGUUGGGUAAAAUGGGCAAUCAGUUAACCUACAUAACUGUAAAUCCCUCUCCUACCAUAGGUCUCAUUUGUUCCAGUAUCCUCCAUCAUUGAUUUGGUUUCCUUGUGUAGACUCUAAAAAGAUUUUAUUAAGGUGAUAAAGUUUUAAGAAGAUUUAUUGUUAUUAAGAGGCAAAAAAUAUACCUCGGUGAUAGGGUGAUCUGUGCAGCGAACCACCAUGGCACAUGUUUGUCUAUGUAACAAACCAGCACAGUCCUUCUUAUGUACCCAUGAACUUCAAAUAAAAGUUAGAAAUAAAAAAGUUAAAAAAAAAACACCACCACCACCACCACCAACAAAAAGAGAAUAGAAAAAAUAUUAACCUCAAAGAAAGUAAACCUGGCUUUAUGACUGAGUCCUGCACCUGCUCACUUGGAUAAGUCAUUUAACCUGCCUGGAUCUCAGUUUUGUCAUCUCUAAAAUAAGAAUAAUAACACUUCUGUUACUAGGGGGUGUUCAGGAUUAAGGGCCACAAUAUACAUGAUAGCUGUUAAAACUGACAUGAUGGUAUUAAGUUUUGCAUCUGUGAUAAACUAAUUACUCAUAAGAAUUUUUUUUAUUUUUAAAAUUGUCUUAAAAUUUUAGUCAUUUAAAGUGUUUAGGAAGCAUUUGAUAAAGACCAAAUAGGCACAGUAGUGUAUUCCCUAAGGGAAAUGUCUUGAAAAAAACUGGAAUAAUUGCACUGGUCUCUUAGCCUAGUCAUGCUUCCCAGCCUGUGUCAGAGUCCAAUUCUGUAUGACUCUCAAAUUCAUCUCAUCCAUUAGUAAAUUAGAAGAGUAGACUGAAAGGGAGAAAGCUUUCUCCUUUCCCCAAAAUAUCUCCUUCACCAUCUAGUCAUAGAACUACCAUUUCCCACCAAUUUGUGAAAUGUAUUUCAUUGUAAACACAAAUUUGAGGGGCAAUUGAUGUAUUGAUUCAUGUGUCCUGGGGUGACAGGGGUCAGCAAGUGAGCAGACCACACUGGUAAUUAGGUAAUUAGCAUGUAAUGAAAGGUUUUCUUGUCUUUCAUGAAGACUUCUUUCUUCUCUGUGUGAAAUGCACAGAUUUAUACAGUCACACCCCAAAACAAAGACAAAAAACACUUCAGGUUUGACUGAAUGCAAUGUCACAGCACAAAAAUUAGAAAGCUAUUGAAGUAUUUUUGAAAUGUAGACAAUUUUCCCCUAACAAAGAACAAAGGAAAUUUGCCCGAAUGUCUAUUUCAUCAGCUGAUUUUUUUUUUACAAGCAGAAUUUUGCAAACAGCUUAGUUUGAAAAUUUGAGAUGAUUGUUGAUUUAAUAUUUUUGGGCCAGUUUUCAGGUUUUCUUUUGCACUAAACAAUUACAAACGUUUUUCUUAUUUUCAGCACAACCCUCUAAGACUAACUGUGCCACUCAUUACUGUAUUACUUCUGAGCUCCAAAGUCAUCCUUUGUUACAUGCUUUGCGAUAAUGGAGCUUUACCCUUUAAGCAUUUUUCUUUUGCUGUGGGCAUGGUAUUAAGCUUUGUCAGAAGAGAGCAGUGGAGGGACAGUGAAGGAGGAUGGGACUCCUCCUCUUCUUGGUUCCAUUUGUGUUUUUUCUCAAUGCAUGGCUGGCAGUGGCAUGUUAGAUGGAGACAGCCAGGAGUGCUCUGCCCAAUUGUGUGCUUGAAGUGAGUUUGAAAUCUCAGCCCUAGCCUAGUAGUCUGCUUUUGAGAUCUUUCCAAGGUCAACACUGUGUUUUCCAGGCUUCAUGCUACCCAGCCAAUA